rnacentral:rRNA from 1 species
UGGGGAAUCUUGCGCAAUGGGCGAAAGCCUGACGCAGCCAUGCCGCGUGAAUGAUGAAGGUCUUAGGAUUGUAAAAUUCUUUCACCGAGGACGAUAAUGACGGUACUCGGAGAAGAAGCCCCGGCUAACUUCGUGCCAGCAGCCGCGGUAAUACGAAGGGGGCUAGCGUUGCUCGGAAUUACUGGGCGUAAAGGGAGCGUAGGCGGAUAGUUUAGUCAGAGGUGAAAGCCCAGGGCUCAACCUUGGAAUUGCCUUUGAUACUGGCUAUCUUGAGUACGGAAGAGGUAUGUGGAACUCCGAGUGUAGAGGUGAAAUUCGUAGAUAUUCGGAAGAACACCAGUGGCGAAGGCGACAUACUGGUCCGUUACUGACGCUGAGGCUCGAAAGCGUGGGGAGCAAACAGGAUUAGAUACCCCAGUAGUCCCUGAGCGGGCUGGCAAGGCGCAU